AGAACGAACGCUGGCAGCGUGGAUUAGGCAUGCAAGUCGAACGGGAUCGGGAAGGUAGCAAUAUCGGCCCGUGAGAGUGGCGGAAGGGCGAGGAACACGUGGCAACCUGCCUUGAGGUGGGGAAAACCGUUGGAAACGACGGCUAAUACCGAAUGUGGCGCCGGGAGGCAUCUUCCGCGCGCUAAAGGGGGCCGCAAGGCUCCCCCUCUUCGAGGGGCUCGCGCACCAUCAGCUUGUUGGCGGGGUAACGGCCCACCAAGGCUCACGGUUAGCUGGUCUGAGAGGAUGGCCAGCCGCACUGGGACUGAGAUACUGCCCAGACUCCUACGGGAGGCUGCAGUCGAGGAUCAUUCGCAAUGGGGGAAACCCUGACGAUGCGACGCUGCGUGGAAGGAUGAAGGCCCUCGGGUCGUAAACUCCUGUCAUGAGGGAAAAGGCGAGGGGACCCAACACGUCCCUUAGUUGAUGGUACCUCAAGAGGAACGGGCGGCUAACUCUGUGCCAGCAGCCGC
rnacentral:rRNA from 1 species